rnacentral:rRNA from 1 species
UCUUUUCCUUUUUUUCCAGCCGCCGCGGUAAUACGUAGGGAGCGAGCGUUGUCCGGAAUUACUGGGUGUAAAGGGAGCGUAGGCGGGAUGGCAAGUCAGAUGUGAAAACUAUGGGCUCAACCCAUAGACUGCAUUUGAAACUGUUGUUCUUGAGUGAGGUAGAGGUAAGCGGAAUUCCUGGUGUAGCGGUGAAAUGCGUAGAGAUCAGGAGGAACAUCGGUGGCGAAGGCGGCUUACUGGGCCUUUACUGACGCUGAGGCUCGAAAGCGUGGGGAGCAAACAGG